CUAGAACCUCCCGGACCCCACUCUGCUCCUGAGGAUUCGCCCUUCCCACCAGAGCACCACCAGAAAAGGAAUGUAAGCCAUCACAGGAAUCCCAACCCAAUACUCUUACCCAUAGAUUGAGAGCUUCAGAGGAAGUGAAGUGCCUUUUAAAAAAUGACUUCUAACUGGAUGAAUCCCUCUGUCCAAGCCAUCAAUAAGCGUCUCCCAGAUAGCACUCUUACGUCAGUGGAACAGUACCCAGGACAGCAAGAGGAUUGCAAUCCCAAGAGACAAGCCACAGAAUGAAACUGAUAGCAGGAGUUCAAAGGAAAACAACUCAAGUGGUAGCAUUAUCAAAAGAAUUCAGAGGAGGAAGCCAUGGCUUUUGGCUGGUACCAAAAAGAGGAAAAAAAGAAAAGAAAAAAAGGGAUGCAGGAACAAAACAUUUAAGGUUCCCGAGAUUUUCUGAUAUACAAGUAUGGAGUGAACAUCCCAUCAUACAGGAGGUAUUCCCCAGAAACAUGUGGCAUGCCCAUGUCUCAGGCUUCUGUAAUCCUGCAUUUCACACUCUGACCUAUGAUUCAGGGUGGAAGCAUCAACUUAGCAGUUUUCUGUCAUCUGUAAAAAUGUCAAGAUUAAAAAAAAAACAACAUAAAGGUUGAGGAAUGGUUCCAAACCAAAUGAGACAAGAGAGACAUGACAAUCAAAUGCAAUGUGUGAUUCUGGACUACAUCCUGGAGCGUGGGGAAAAAAAUUGCUAUAGAAGAACUUUCAAAACAAAUUGGACACAUUUGAAUAUGGACUGUGAAUUAUAGAUUCACUCAUCAGUGCAUUGUUGGUAAAAGCAAGAUGGGAUGUCAUGUACAACAUGGUGACUAUUGAUAACACUGCUACGUAACACAUAGGAACGUCAUUG